rnacentral:rRNA from 1 species
GACGAACGCUGGCGGCAGGCCUAACACAUGCAAGUCGAACGAGUGGCGGACGGGUGAGUAAUGUCUGGGAAACUGCCCGAUGGAGGGGGAUAACUACUGGAAACGGUAGCUAAUACCGCAUACCAUCGGAUGUGCCCAGAUGGGAUUAGCUAGUAGGUGGGGUAACGGCUCACCUAGGCGACGAUCCCUAGCUGGUCUGAGAGGAUAACCAGCCAAACUGGAACUGAGACACGGUCCAGACUCCUACGGGAGGCAGCAGUGGGGAAUAUUGCACAAUGGGCGCAAGCCUGAUGCAGCCAUGCCGCGUGUAUGAAGAAGGCCUUCGGGUUGAAAAGUACUUUCAGCGGGGAGGCGUUACCCGCAGGAGAAGCACCGGCUAACUACGAGCCAGCAGCCGCGGUAAUAC